UCUCGCUUCGGCGGUACAUAUACUAAAAUUGGAACAAUACAGAGAAGAUUAGCAUGGCCUCUGCGCAUGCAUGACAAAGGUUGCCACGGUAGCCGAGCGGUUAUA
rnacentral:snRNA from 1 species